GAGCCAGCCGCCUAAGGUGGGAUAGAUGAUUGGGGUGAAGUCGUAACAAGGUAGCCGUAUCGGAAGGUGCGGCUGGAUCACCUCCUUU
rnacentral:rRNA from 3 species